UAUCCGGGCACGUGACAAACAGCCACGCCGGAAGUCGAACCGGUAGAGAAAGAGGGGGCGGUGAUGAGCGUGAAGAGGCGGGGCCAUGUCUUGCCGGAGGGGCGUGUCGAGGACAGGCAGAGGCGGGACUUCCUUGGCUCAGAGACUGACCUUGGACCUGAGGAUUUGGUGCGGUACUGUAAUACGUGCCACGAGGAAACCAAAGACAAACCAGCUUUCAUCAUGACUUUAAGGACCUUGGAGUGAGAACUGAUGAGCAUUGGACAUACCUACCCAAUGGGCUACUGUUUCCUUGGCCAUGCAAUGCCUUGAGACAGAUUUGGACACAGAUGCAUAACAGAAGGAAGAUGAGGAGAAGACGGCCGUCCACGAGCCGAGGAGAGAUGCCUGGAACAGGUUCUUCCCUCGCAGCCCUCACGGAACAAAUGCUGAUAUCUUGGUCUGGGACGUCCCGGCUCCAGAACUAUGAGACAAUCCAUUUUUUUGCUUAAGCCUCUCAGUUUAUCGGUACUUGAUUGGCAACCCCAGCAAACUAAUACACUCAGUCUUUCUUUAUCUUUCAUGAUAUUGACACUCUUUUUCUUUUAGUGACUAGAUAGACAUUCCACUGAUUUGUGACAGAAUCAGACUACUAUUAUACCUGCUAAUUUUAAGAACUAACAUUUAUUGUGUGCUCUCUGAGGGCACUCUUGGAGCUGCUAUUGCCUGUCUCACUGUUAAUAUGCUCGCAAUAGGACUUAUAUGUGCCUAGUAUCUGCCCUGGCUUUUAGUAUUUCACUGUAUUCUUAGUAUUUCACUAUAUUCUUAGUAUUUCACUGUAUUCUCUGGAGAUAGGUACAGGAUAAAUCCUUUUAUCCAGAAUGAGUCUCAGGUCAUAUAAAUGAAAAAAGUCGAUUAAGGCAGGAAAUCAUACAAAAUAUGCACACUAAACAUUUUUCUUCUUUGUUUCCUUUCCCUUUGCCUGGCUUAGAAAGCUGAUCUCAUUUUAUUUUAUUAUUUAUCCUAUUAUUUUUUGAGAUUUUAUUUAUUUAUUUAUUUUUUAUUGAUCUAUUCAUUUUAUUUACAUUUUUCAAUUUUAAUCACAUCUUAAGAUAUUAGUAUAAGUUCUUUUUUUCCCACAUUUUAAAAAAUUUAUUUAAUUAUUUUUCAAGUACAGUUUUCUUUUGUCAAUUUCUCCCUUCCCAGCCCCCCUCCUCCCCGUCUCCCUAUUAUUUUUCUUUUUACCUUUUUUACCCUUUGGCAACUACCAAUCUGUUCUUUAUGUCUAUGAGCUUUUUUUGUUUGUUUGUUUGUUUUGUAGAAUCCACAUAUAAGACAGAUAAUAUUUCUCUUUCUCUAUCUGACUUACUUCCCUUAGAAUAAUGUCCUUGAGGUCCAACUAUAUUGUUUCAAAUGAAUAGAUUUCAUUCCUUUUUAUGGAUGAAUAAUAUUUUAUUAUAUAUAAUUCGAUAGCUUACUUUCUGCUAUUAAGUGGCAUACAUGUGAGAAAUGGAAUACUAUAUAUACUAUAAUUUCUCUGUUUAUCCACUGAUGGACACUUAGGUUGUUUCCACAUUUUGGCUGUUGUAAAUAAUGCUGCAAUGAACAUGGGGUGCAUACAUCUUUUCAAGUUACUGUUUUUGUUUUCUUCAGUUACAUACCCAGCAAUGGAAUUGCUGGAUCAUAUGGCAAUUCCAUCUUUAAUUCUUUGAAGAGUCUCUGUGUGUUCCACAUUAGCUGCACCAAUUUCCAUUCCCACCACCAGUGUACAAAGAACCCCUUUCCUCCAUAUCUUUCCCCAAAAUUGUUACCCCUUGUUUUUCUGGUAAUGGACAUUUUAACAAAUGUGAGGUAAUAUGUCAGUGUUGUUUUGAUUUGCACUUCCCUGAUGGUUAAUGAUGUUGAGUAUUUUUUCAUGUACCUGUUGUCCACCUGUAUGUCUUCUUGGGAAAGAUGUCUCUUCAGAUCUUCUGCCCAUUUUUAAUUGGAUUAUUUGUUUUUCUGCUAUUGAGUCAUAUAAGUUCUUUAUAUAUUUUGGAUGUUAGCUCCUUAUCAGUUAUGUGAUACUUUCUCAAAUCAUAAAAGAAAAUGACAGUAAUAGAAAAUCACCAUAAAAUAUCAACAUAGUAAUUGCCACAGGCAAAAUAUUCUAGAAUUUUUAUAGUUUCUGAUUUUAUAUUCAAGUUUUUAAUUCAUUUGAGUUGAUUUUUGUGUGUGCUGUAAGAUAGGGGUCCCGUUGUAGUCUUCUGCACAAAGAUAUCUGGUUGUGCCAGGACCAUUAUAGAAAGAAUUAUUCUUUCCUCUUUGCAUAAGAUUGGCAUCCUUGUCAAAAAUCGGUUGCCUGUAGAUGAUAGGUUUAUUUCUGAACUCUUAGUUCUAUUCCAUUGCUUCAUAUGUCUACCCUUAUGACACUACCAUACUGUUCUUAUUACUGUAGGUUUGCAGUCAGUUUUGAAAUUGGAGAUGUGAAUCCUUCAACUCUGUACCUCUUUUCCAAGAUUGUUUGGCUAUUUGGGCACCCUUGGAAUUCAAAUGAAUGUGAGGAUUGGCUUUUCCAUUUCUGCAAAAAAGAAAAAGGCACUGGAAUUUUGAUGGGGACAGCAAUAAAUCCGUGGAUGACUUUGUGUCAUACUGACAUCUUAAUAAUAUCGUCUUAUCCAUGAACAUGGGCUGUCCUUUCAUAAGUUUAGGCCUUUUAAGAUAG